UUGGCAUUGUGUUUUUCUGGUCUGUGCGUACGUUCGUUCGUUCGUCUGUUUGUUUGUCCGUUUGUCCAGCUUCAAGUUAAAUCAACUUGAAACUUAGUACACAUUUUCCCUAUGGUAUGAUCUUUUUAAUUCUAAUGCCAAAUUACAGUUUUAUCCCAUGCUCACAGUCCACUAAACAUAGAAAAUGAUAGUGUAGAUGAGGCAUCCGUGUACCAGGGACACAUUCAUGUUUCUUCAAAUUUUCGUCGUAUCG
rnacentral:lncRNA from 1 species